AACGCACAUUGCGCCCGCCAGUAUUCUGGCGGGCAUGCCUGUCUGAGCGUCAGUUCAACCCUCACAACCGGCUUUCUUGCUGGACGUGGUGUUGGGGAUCGGCUGCCUUUCUUCUAGGUGGCCGGCCCCGAAAUAGAGUGGCGGUCUCGUCGUGGCCUCCUCUGCGUAGUAGCAAUAUCUCGCAGGCGGAGAGCGGCGUGGCUAUGCCGUAAAACACCCAACUCUUCUAAGGUUGACCUCAGAUCAGGUAGGAAUACCCGCUGAACUUAA
rnacentral:misc_RNA from 1 species